UUCAGAUACGGAGAUGGCAUACCUCCUAUCCCAACCGCUGGAUUCCCAGCUGAUGAUGCCUACGAAUUU
rfam:Candidimonas bauzanensis strain CGMCC 1.10190 genome assembly, contig: Ga0070552_108